ACCUACGGGGGGCAGCAGUGGGGAAUAUUGCACAAUGGGGGAAACCCUGAUGCAGCGACGCCGCGUGAGUGAAGAAGUAUCUCGGUACGUAAAGCUCUAUCAGCAGGGAAGAAAAAAAGUCUUUGGCUUUGGACGGUACCUGACUAAGAAGCGCCGGCUAACUACGUGCCAGCAGCCGCGGUAAUACGUAGGGGGCAAGCGUUAUCCGGAUUUACUGGGUGUAAAGGGAGCGCAGACGGCUGUGCAAGUCUGGAGUGAACGGCGGGGGCCCAACCCCCGGCCUGCUCUGGAAAUUGUAAAGCGGG
rnacentral:rRNA from 1 species